UACGAGAGGCCCAAACGUUAUUCGGAAUUACUGGGCUUAAAGAGUUCGUAGGCGGCAUUGCAAGUAGGGUGUGAAAGCCCUCGGCUCAACCGAGGAAUUGCGCUCUAAACUGCAGUGCUUGAGGACUAGAGGUGAGCAGAACAGAUGGUGGAGCGGUGAAAUGCGUGAUAUCAUCUGGAAUACCGGAGGCGAAGGCGGCUCCACUGGGAGUUUCUGACGCUG
rnacentral:rRNA from 1 species